rnacentral:rRNA from 1 species
GAGUUUGAUCCUGGCUCAGAUUGAACGCUGGCGGCAGGCCUAACACAUGCAAGUCGAGCGGUAGCACAGAGAGCUUGCUCUCGGGUGACGAGCGGCGGACGGGUGAGUAAUGUCUGGGAAACUGCCUGAUGGAGGGGGAUAACUACUGGAAACGGUAGCUAAUACCGCAUAACGUCGCAAGACCAAAGUGGGGGACCUUCGGGCCUCAUGCCAUCAGAUGUGCCCAGAUGGGAUUAGCUAGUAGGUGGGGUAACGGCUCACCUAGGCGACGAUCCCUAGCUGGUCUGAGAGGAUGACCAGCCACACUGGAACUGAGACACGGUCCAGACUCCUACGGGAGGCAGCAGUGGGGAAUAUUGCACAAUGGGCGCAAGCCUGAUGCAGCCAUGCCGCGUGUGUGAAGAAGGCCUUCGGGUUGUAAAGCACUUUCAGCGGGGAGGAAGGCGAUAAGGUUAAUAACCUUGUCGAUUGACGUUACCCGCAGAAGAAGCACCGGCUAACUCCGUGCCAGCAGCCGCGGUAAUACGGAGGGUGCAAGCGUUAAUCGGAAUUACUGGGCGUAAAGCGCACGCAGGCGGUCUGUCAAGUCGGAUGUGAAAUCCCCGGGCUCAACCUGGGAACUGCAUUCGAAACUGGCAGGCUAGAGUCUUGUAGAGGGGGGUAGAAUUCCAGGUGUAGCGGUGAAAUGCGUAGAGAUCUGGAGGAAUACCGGUGGCGAAGGCGGCCCCCUGGACAAAGACUGACGCUCAGGUGCGAAAGCGUGGGGAGCAAACAGGAUUAGAUACCCUGGUAGUCCACGCCGUAAACGAUGUCGAUUUGGAGGUUGUGCCCUUGAGGCGUGGCUUCCGGAGCUAACGCGUUAAAUCGACCGCCUGGGGAGUACGGCCGCAAGGUUAAAACUCAAAUGAAUUGACGGGGGCCCGCACAAGCGGUGGAGCAUGUGGUUUAAUUCGAUGCAACGCGAAGAACCUUACCUGGUCUUGACAUCCACAGAACUUUCCAGAGAUGGAUUGGUGCCUUCGGGAACUGUGAGACAGGUGCUGCAUGGCUGUCGUCAGCUCGUGUUGUGAAAUGUUGGGUUAAGUCCCGCAACGAGCGCAACCCUUAUCCUUUGUUGCCAGCGGUUAGGCCGGGAACUCAAAGGAGACUGCCAGUGAUAAACUGGAGGAAGGUGGGGAUGACGUCAAGUCAUCAUGGCCCUUACGACCAGGGCUACACACGUGCUACAAUGGCAUAUACAAAGAGAAGCGACCUCGCGAGAGCAAGCGGACCUCAUAAAGUAUGUCGUAGUCCGGAUUGGAGUCUGCAACUCGACUCCAUGAAGUCGGAAUCGCUAGUAAUCGUAGAUCAGAAUGCUACGGUGAAUACGUUCCCGGGCCUUGUACACACCGCCCGUCACACCAUGGGAGUGGGUUGCGGUGAAGUCGUAACAAGGUAAAUCGUCGACCUGCA